CCUGCCCCCAUCAACAACCCAACAUGCCUCUCCAUUGUCCAGAUCCUAUAAAAAUGAUGCCCCAAAAGCAGCAUUGGCUCUAAAGUAAAAAAGAAAAAUUGGAAAAUUGACAUCAAUAUGGUCAAACAGAGUCAGGAGCACCAGUAGAUUCUUGAGAGAGCAGCCAGUAAUGGGCCAGCAUCAAAGAAGCUGAUGAGGGACUUUUUGCACCCCCACACCUAAAGCAAGAAGAUAUUGAGGGCCCAGACUAAUUACUUCUUUAUUCUAUUCUGGGAUGUCUUCAGAAAUCCUUUCUUCGUGAUGUGCAAUGGAUGCUAUCAUUUCAGUCACCAUGAUGUCGAAGUGGGAAUCGAUAUUUGAGGGGAGGGAAAUAUCCCAACCCUGACCAUCUACUGAACAAUGACUCACCAAUAGCUGCACAACAGUCAGGACAGAGUUUUCCGUAUUAGUCUUACCCACCUUUUCCCCUUGGGG
rnacentral:lncRNA from 1 species